rnacentral:tRNA from 1 species
AUUAGAGUGCCUGAAAGUUAAAAAGGGCCAUCUUGAUAUGAUGGAUAAUGUGCCCCCCCACCUCUAAUU